UACGUAGGGUGCGAGCGUUAAUCGGAAUUACUGGGCGUAAAGCGUGCGCAGGCGGUUCGUUGUGUCGGUGGUGAAAGCCCCGGGCUUAACCUGGGAAUGGCCAUGGAAACUGGCGAACUGGAGUGUGGCAGAGGGGGGUGGAAUUCCGCGUGUAGCAGUGAAAUGCGUAGAGAUGCGGAGGAACACCGAUGGCGAAGGCAGCCCCCUGGGCUAGCACUGACGCUGAGGAACGAAAGCGUGGGGAGCGAACAGG
rnacentral:rRNA from 1 species